rnacentral:rRNA from 1 species
AACGAACGCUGGCGGCAUGCCUAACACAUGCAAGUCGAACGAGACCUCCGGGUCUAGUGGCGCACGGGUGCGUAACGCGUGGGAACCUGCCCUUAGGCUCGGAAUAACUCCCCGAAAGGGGUGCUAAUACCGGAUAAUGUCCUCGGACCAAAGAUUUAUCGCCUUUGGAUGGGCCCGCGUUGGAUUAGCCAGUUGGUAGGGUAAAAGCCUACCAAGGCGACGAUCCAUAGCUGGUCUGAGAGGAUGAUCAGCCACACUGGGACUGAGACACGGCCCAGACUCCUACGCGAGGCAGCAGUGGGGAAUAUUGGACAAUGGGCGAAAGCCUGAUCCAGCAAUGCCGCGUGAGUGAUGAAGGCCUUAGGGUUGUAAAGCUCUUUUACCCGGGAUGAUAAUGACAGUACCGGGAGAAUAAGCUCCGGCUAACUCCGUG